UAGGGAAUUUUCGGCAAUGGGCGGAAGCCUGACCGAGCAACGCCGCGUGAAUGAAGAAGUAUUUCGGUAUGUAAAGUUCUUUUAUUAGAGACGAAAAGACAGAUUGACGGUAUCUAAUGAAUAAGCCCCGGCUAACUACGUGCCAGCAGCCGCGGUAAUACGUAGGGGGCAAGCGUUAUCCGGAAUUAUUGGGCGUAAAGGGUGCGUAGGUGGCAUAUCAAGUCUUUGGUUAAAGAACGGGGCUCAACUCCGUAGAGCCAAGGAAACUGAUAGGCUAGAGUAUGGUAGAGGUGAGUGGAAUUCCAUGUGUAGCGGUAAAAUGCGUAAAUAUAUGGAGGAACACCAGUGGCGAAGGCGGCUCACUAGGCCAAUACUGACACUGAGGCACGAAAGCGUGGGGAGCAAACA
rnacentral:rRNA from 1 species